rnacentral:rRNA from 1 species
GACAGAGGGGGCAAGCGUUGCUCGGAAUCACUGGGCGUAAAGGGCGCGUAGGCGGGGGCCCAAGUCGGUCGUGAAAUCCUCGGGCUCAACUCGAGGGGGUCGGCCGAAACUGGGUUUCUUGAGGGGCGCAGAGGAGCCUGGAAUUCCCGGUGUAGCGGUGAAAUGUGUAGAGAUCGGGAGGAACACCGGUGGCGAAGGCGGGGCUCUGGGCGCACCCUGACGCUGAGGCGCGAAGGCGUGGGGAGCAAACGGGAUUAGAUACCCCUGUAGUCC